rnacentral:rRNA from 1 species
UGGGGAAUUUUGGACAAUGGGCGCAAGUCUGAUCCAGCCAUGCCGCGUGCGGGAAGAAGGCCUUCGGGUUGUAAACCGCUUUUGUCAGGGAAGAAAAGCGCUGGGCUAAUACCCCGGCGUCAUGACGGUACCUGAAGAAUAAGCACCGGCUAACUACGUGCCAGCAGCCGCGGUAAUACGUAGGGUGCAAGCGUUAAUCGGAAUUACUGGGCGUAAAGCGUGCGCAGGCGGCUUUGCAAGACAGAUGUGAAAUCCCCGGGCUCAACCUGGGAACUGCAUUUGUGACUGCAAGGCUAGAGUACGGUAGAGGGGAGUGGAAUUCCGCGUGUAGCAGUGAAAUGCGUAGAUAUGCGGAGGAACACCGAUGGCGAAGGCAGCUCCCUGGACCUGUACUGACGCUCAUGCACGAAAGCGUGGGGAGCAAACAGGAUUAGAUACCCUGGUAGUCCACGCCCUAAACGAUGUCAACUGGUUGUUGGGAGGGUUUCUUCUCAGUAACGUAGCUAACGCGUGAAGUUGACCGCCUGGGGAGUACGGCCGCAAGGUUG